rnacentral:rRNA from 1 species
CAGCAGCCACGGUAGUACGUAGGGUGCGAGCGUUAAUCGGAAUUACUGGGCGUAAAGCGUGCGCAGGCGGUUCGUUAAGACAGAUGUGAAAUCCCCGGGCUUAACCUGGGAACUGCAUUUGUGACUGGCGAGCUAGAGUAUGGCAGAGGGGGGUAGAAUUCCACGUGUAGCAGUGAAAUGCGUAGAGAUGUGGAGGAAUACCGAUGGCGAAGGCAGCCCCCUGGGCCAAUACUGACGCUCAUGCACGAAAGCGUGGGGAGCAAACAGGAUUAGAUACCCGUGUAGUCCCUGUCUCUUAUAC